UCGUUUGCCUCAAUGUUGGUGUCUUCUGGCACAGGUGCCAACUUUCUCAUUUCCCCAGCAGUGCUCAACCCCUGCUCCACCCCAGGUCCUGCCCCCACUGCACCUCUUCCCACCCCUGCCCUGCCUCUUCCAGCCCCGCUCUACCCCCUUCCACUCCCCCGAGUGCGCCCCACCCUCGCUCCCCUUCUCCCCCUCAGCGCCUCCUGCCCACCGCUGAACAGCUGAUCUGUGGCAGUUGGGAAGCACUGGGAGGGAGAGGGAAGAGCUGAUCCACAAGGCUACCGGUGAGUGCUGGGCACCCAAUGCAGCACCCACGCAGUCAGCACCUAUGUCUUCUGGGGAGGCACAUGUUCCUUUCCAUGCUUUCGUCUUUUUACGCACUGCUGCAUGAAAUCAGAGAUAACCCUAAAACCCAGUAGAGGGGGAAAUUACACAUGCUGUGUAAAUAAUUUCUGAACUGAACUGGAUGCCUCCUGCUACCCUGCCCACAGUUCUGGAGAUGAGCUCGGACACACAGCAGCCCAUGAGUGCAGUCAGCGCCACCAAAAGGAGGAGGCCGCAGCCCAGCCCCGUCACCAC